AACGAACGCUGGCGGCAUGCCUAACACAUGCAAGUCGAACGAGAUCCUUCGGGGUCUAGUGGCGCACGGGUGCGUAACGCGUGGGAAUCUGCCCUUAGGUUCGGAAUAACAGUUAGAAAUGACUGCUAAUACCGGAUGAUGACGUUAAGUCCAAAGAUUUAUCGCCUGAGGAUGAGCCCGCGUAGGAUUAGCUAGUUGGUGUGGUAAAGGCGCACCAAGGCGACGAUCCUUAGCUGGUCUGAGAGGAUGAUCAGCCACACUGGGACUGAGACACGGCCCAGACUCCUACGGGAGGCAGCAGUGGGGAAUAUUGGACAAGGGGCGCAAGCCUGAUACAGCAAUGCCGCGUGAGUGAUGAAGGCCUUAGGGUUGUAAAGCUCUUUUACCCGGGAUGAUAAUGACAGUACCGGGAGAAUAAGCCCCGGCUAACUCCGUG
rnacentral:rRNA from 1 species